rnacentral:rRNA from 1 species
CCUACGGGAGGCAGCAGUGAGGAAUAUUGGUCAAUGGACGAGAGUCUGAACCAGCCAAGUAGCGUGAAGGAUGACUGCCCUAUGGGUUGUAAACUUCUUUUAUAUGGGAAUAAAAUGUUCCACGUGUGGGAUUUUGUAUGUACCAUAUGAAUAAGGAUCGGCUAACUCCGUGCCAGCAGCCGCGGUAAUACGGAGGAUCCGAGCGUUAUCCGGAUUUAUUGGGUUUAAAGGGAGCGUAGGUGGAUUGUUAAGUCAGUUGUGAAAGUUUGCGGCUCAACCGUAAAAUUGCAGUUGAAACUGGCAGUCUUGAGGACAGUAGAGGUGGGCGGAAGUCGUGGUGUAGCGGUGAAAUGCUUAGAUAUCACGAAGAACUCCGAUUGCGAAGGCAGUUCACUGGACUGCAACUGACACUGAGGCUCGAAAGUGUGGGUAUCAAACAGGAUUAGAUACCCCAGUAGUC